rnacentral:rRNA from 1 species
AAAGAUAAAGUUUGCAUUUGUUUGAUCUUAAAAGGAAUCUAUAUGGCGAAGGGCUAUAUCUGGGUCUAAACUGACAUUGAGGCACGGAAGUGUGGGUAGCAAGCAGGAUUAGGGACCCUGUUAGUCCAUACCGUAAACGAUGAAUGUUCAAUGUUGGAAUACUUAUUUCAGCAUUUUAGUUAACACGGUAAACAUUCCGCCUGGGAAGUACGAUCGCAAGGUUGAAACUUAAAAGAUCUGACGGGGAUUUGUCCACACGGUGGAGCAUGUUGUUUAAUGCGAUGAUCCGCGCAAAACCUUACCAGUUCUUGACAUAUAUACAUAAUUAUUUAUGUAAUUGUAAAUAAAAAUAUACAGGGUUGCAUGGCUGUCGUCAGGUUAUAUCGUGAGACUUUAGGUUAAUUCCUAAAAUAAGCGAGACCCUUUUCUUUAAUUGCUAGGUUUUUAUUAUCUAAAAACAAAAAGUACUUUAAAGAUAUAGUUGAUGUUUUAUUAUUAAACGUCAGAUGAAAGAAAGGAUUACGCCAAGUCCUCAUGACCCUUAUGAACUGGGCUACAGAUGUGCUACAAUGGGGAUUACAAAAAGAAGCGAUAACGUAAGUUUGAGCAAAUCUAUAAAAUUCUCCGUAAUAUGGAUUGUUCUCUGCAACUCGGCUCCAUGAAGUCGGAAUCGCUAGUAAUCGUGGAUCAGAAUGCCACGGUGAAUACGUUCCCGGGCCUUGUACGCACCGCCCGUCACACCAUGGGAGUGGGCUGCACCAGAAGUAGAUAGCUUAACCUUCGGGAGGGCGUUUACCACGGUGUGGUUCAUGACUGGGGUGAAGUCGUAACAAGGUAACC